GACUCGAUGGCGUAAUGGCAGCGCCCCGGCAGCAAGUAGGCCAGAGGACUGGACAUUUGUGCCGAGGACGUCGGUUCGAAUCCGACUCGAGUCG